AAGAAACAAAGAUGCAGGAGCUGUUUCGUGCCAUCCAUGUAGGGGAUCAGGAAAAGAUCCGGAAAGAAGCCAUCAAAGAGACAGAAAAGCUCCAUAAGAAUGCAGCCACCAUCAGCCAGUACAAUCUGGCCACCAUGGAGAUUGUCAGCGGCUUUUUCAAAUUUUGUGCCAAUAAUUCCAUGGAUUUCAAUGAAAUUUCCGGAAAUGUACAGAAUCUUUACGAAAGAGUGACUCAGCUGGAUGAAAGCUCUAUGACAAACUGGAUUAUCAAUAUGUCUAUGGCGAUCAGCGAAAAACUGAGAAGUACCAGAAAUAGUACCUCCAGACGGAUCAUCACCGAUGCACAGAACAUCGUAAAAGACAGAUAUAUGGAACCGGCGCUCUCGCUGGAUGAUGUGUGCGCAGAUCUUGGUGUGUCCAAUUCUUACUUUUCGUCCAUCUUUAAAAAGGAAACCGGUCAGUCCUUCGUCUCCUAUCUUACCGAUUACCGAAUGGACAGGGCAGAAGAAAUGGUGCUGAACACCGAUGAAAAAAGCUAUAAGAUCGCAGAAAAAGUGGGAUAUCAGGAUGCGAACUACUUCAGCUAUGUAUUCAAAAAGAAAUUCGGUGUUUCCCCUUCCAAAUACAGAGCUUCCGGAAAAUAGGGAACAGGUGAAAGGGAAAAUACAUGAAAGAUAGAAAAAGAAAGCCGGAUUCCCGGAUACCCUUGGCCAGGAUGAAGUCUGGGUAACACCAGAUGGAGGUCCGCACCAAUAAGCGUUGAAAAGCUUCUGGAUGAGCUGAGGGUAGGGGUGAAAGGCUAAUCAAACUUGGAGAUAGCUCGUACUCCCCGAAAUGCAUUUAGGUGCAGCCUCGCGGGUUACUGAUGUGAGGUAGAGCGACUGAUUGGAUGCGAGGGCUUCACCGCCUAUCAAGUCCUGACAAACUCCGAAUGCGCAUCAGUUUUACCGCGGGAGUGAGGGCAUGGGUGCUAAGGUCCGUGCCCGAGAGGAGAAGAAUCCGGACUAUCAGCUAAGGCCCCGAAAUGACAGCUAAGUUAAACUAACGAAGUCUGAUUGCUAAGACAGCUAGGAUGUUGGCUUGGAAGCAGCCAUUCAUUUAAAGAGUGCGUAACAGCUCACUAGUCGAGGAAUCGGGCGUGGAUAAUAAUCGGGUAUUAAGUUGUCUGCCGAAGCUAUAGAAUCAGCAAUGAUUGGUAGGGGAGCAUUCCAUUCGGCGUUGAAGGCGUGGCGUGAGCCAUUCUGGAGCGUAUGGAAAAGCAAAUGUAGGUAUAAGUAACGAUAAAGGGGGUGAGAAACCCCCUCGCCGAAAGACUAAGGUUUCCUGAUCAACGCUAAUCGGAUCAGGGUAAGUCGGGUCCUAAGGUUCAGCCGAACGGCGAGACCGAUGGCAGAAACGGUUAAUAUUCCGUUACUACCUUUGAGGGUGACGUGGGGACGCAGGAGUGACACCGCCGCCGGCUGACGGAAUAGCCGGUUAAAGAGUGUAGACGUUGAUUUCCGCAGGCAAAUCCACGGAAAGAGUCGAACUUGACAGUAUGGAACGUCCUUCGGGACAAUCCAAUAGUGCGGGUAAGCAGACUGCCGAGAAAAUCCGCUAAACAUAACUUCAGAGGUACCCGUACCGCAAACGGACACACGUAGUCGGGUUGAAUAUACUAAGGCGCUUGAGUGAAUCACGGUUAAGGAACUAGGCAAACUGACCCUGUAACUUCGGGAUAAAGGGUCCCUACCCAGAAAUGGGAGGGCGCAGAGAAUAGGUCCAGGCAACUGUUUAACAAAAACACAGGGCUGUGCCAAUAUGAAAGUAGACGUAUACAGCCUGACACCUGCCCGGUGCUGGAAGGUUAAGAGGAGAUGUCAUCUUUGGGAGAAGCAUUGAAUUGAAGCCCCAGUAAACGGCGGCCGUAACUAUAACGGUCCUAAGGUAGCGAAAUUCCUUGUCGG
rnacentral:rRNA from 1 species